rnacentral:rRNA from 1 species
UACAGAGGUCCCGAGCGUUGUUCGGAUUCAUUGGGCGUAAAGGGUGCGUAGGUGGGUUGGUAAGUCAGUGGUGAAAUCUUCGAGCUUAACUCGGAAACUGCCAUUGAUACUAUUAAUCUUGAAUUAUCUGGAGGUAAGCGGAAUAUGUCAUGUAGCGGUGAAAUGCUUAGAUAUGACAUAGAACACCCAUUGCGAAGGCAGCUUACUACGGAUACAUUGACACUGAGGCACGAAAGCGUGGGGAUCAAACAGG